CUGUACUAACCUGUCACACACUGAAGUCCUAUAGGUUCACCACUGUACUAACCUGUUACAUACUGAAGACCUAUAGGUUCACCACUGUACUAACCUGUCACACACUGAAGACCUAUAGGUUCACCACUGUACUAACCUGUCACACACUGAAGGCCUAUAGGUUCACCACUGUACUAACCUGUCACACACUGAAGACCUAUAGGUUCACCACUGUACUAACCUGUCACACACUGAAGUCCUAUAGGUUCACCACUGUACUAACCUGUUACACACUGAAGACCUAUAGGUUCACCACUGUGCUAACCUGUCACACACUGAAGGCCUAUAGGUUCACCACUGUACUAACCUGUCACAUACUGAAGGCCUAUAGGUUCACCACUGUACUAACCUGUUACACACUGAAGACCUAUAGGUUCACCACUGUACUAACCUGUCACACACUGAAGACCUAUAGGUUCACCACUGUACUAACCUGUUACACACUGAAGACCUAUAGGUUCACCACUGAAGACCUAUAGGUUCACCACUGUACUAACCUGUCACACACUGAAGACCUAUAGGUUCACCACUGUACUAACCUGUCACAUACUGAAGACCUAUAGGUUCACCACUGCGUAACCAUGUCUAUAAUAGAUAACGGUUGUUAAGAUAAUGUUUCAAGAUGGGAGUGUAUAUGUUUGAGUGUUUUUACUCCACUGGUCUAGGGAAGAAAUUACGAGUCCUCACUGUCUGAGACUGAGUCACGACCAAGUACGAAUGUAGCUGACACCAAGACAAGACCCAUAUGUGGUCUCAAGACUGGACUGGUCUCGGUCUUGAGAACUACAACACUGGUAGAAGCUGAGCACAUUACAACAAUUAAUUGAGUAGACACUAAUAAGCAUGUAAGAACAAUGCAUGUCAAUAAGUAGCAUCCACUCUUGAAAGGAUUGGAUAGGUAUUAACAAAUGGUAAUGACUGCAUCUGCUAAGGGGAUCCUCCUUACAGAUCGGCCCUUACACAGUCUAGGGGAUUAGGAUGAUUGGGCUUUAAACAGGCCAUCUUGUUUAACUGGCCAAAUUCACAGGUGUUUCCUUAGCUUCCUCCACCACUGUGAUCUCCUCAACAAAUUUGGGCUGCAGGGCCUGAGGGACAAACUGUACAAACCGAAGGGAGAAAAGUUUUGUUUUAGCUUCACGAGAGGGGUUAUGAUAUGAUAGUAAACAUAACAAAUGUUUCGUCGCUGUGUGUGUGUUUGUUUUUUUCACCUGAAACUGGUCGUCUCUCUCCAAGAGGUGUUUAAUCUUCAGUGGGGGACCAGGGAUGUGGGGAAACAGACGUUCCCUGAAAACACAGACACGGUCGCACACACACACACACACCACAGUCAGUCAGCAGCCAGGGAAUAACACCACUAAUACCAUAGCCACAGCCGGCCCGCUCAUUAGGCAGGAUUAGGUUGCCGCCUAUGGCAGCAGGGUGACGAGUGCAGCAUUUUUGGAGCAAAACUGACCAAGACACACCUAAAACCACAACAACAACACUUAAAACCUCACAUAAGUCUGCCCGAAAACUACAAUUUCUCUCAACCAGUGGCAUAUGGACUUUUUAAGUGAGCGCUGAUGCCGCACUGUGAUAAGCGGUGCCCACUUUGUCAAAGGCAGGGAUGCAAAAUGUUUAGCUUGUCCAUUCCCAGCAUGCCUCUCCAGGGUGCUGUUGGAGAG
ensembl:lncRNA